UGGAGGCAGCAGUGGGGAAUCUUGCGCAAUGGGCGAAAGCCUGACGCAGCAACGCCGCGUGCGGGAUGAAUGCCUUCGGGUUGUAAACCGCUUUCAGCAGGGACGAAAUUGACGGUACCUGCAGAAGAAGCCCCGGCCAACUACGUGCCAGCAGCCGCGGUAAUACGUAGGGGGCGAGCGUUGUCCGGAUUCAUUGGGCGUAAAGCGCUUUAAGGCGGUUCGCUAAGUCGCGUGUGAAACCUCCAGGCUCAACCUGGAGACGCCACGCGAUACUGGCGUGACUAGAGUCCGGUAGGGGACCACGGAAUUCCUGGUGUAGCGGUGAAAUGCGCAGAUAUCAGGAGGAACACCAGUGGCGAAGGCGGUGGUCUGGGCCGGAACUGACGCUGUAGAGCGAAAGCGUGGGGAGCGAACAGGAUUAGAUACCCCGGUAC
rnacentral:rRNA from 1 species